CACGUAGGGGGCGAGCGUUGUCCGGAUUUAUUGGGCGUAAAGAGCUCGUAGGCGGCUCGGUAAGUCGGGUGUGAAAACUCAGGGCUCAACCCUGAGACGCCACCUGAUACUGCUGUGGCUAGAGUCCGGUAGGGGAGCGUGGAAUUCCUGGUGUAGCGGUGAAAUGCGCAGAUAUCAGGAGGAACACCAGCGGCGAAGGCGGCGCUCUGGGCCGGAACUGACGCUGAGGAGCGAAAGCGUGGGGAGCAAA
rnacentral:rRNA from 1 species